rnacentral:lncRNA from 1 species
AAACUUUGAGCUGUAUGGAACAACCUCCUGAUCAUCCAUUUACCUUGCUUUGGUACAUUAGGACUUUAAUAGAAACUGCCUAAUGUGCAGGCAACCUUGGAAGACAUAUGUAGAUGUCAGAGUCUCCAGCAUCCUGAGUUACUGAAUUACUGGGCAUCAGAACCUCCAGCCUGGAAACCAAGAACACCUACAUUAGAUGAACACACAAG